GAGUUUGAUCAUGGCUCAGGACGAACGCUGGCGGCGUGCUUAACACAUGCAAGUCGAACGGAAAGGCCCUUCGGGGUACUCGAGUGGCGAACGGGUGAGUAACACGUGGGUGAUCUGCCCUGCACUUUGGGAUAAGCCUGGGAAACUGGGUCUAAUACCGAAUAUGACCAUGCACUUCCUGGUGUGUGGUGGAAAGCUUUUGCGGUGUGGGAUGGGCCCGCGGCCUAUCAGCUUGUUGGUGGGGUAAUGGCCUACCAAGGCGACGACGGGUAGCCGGCCUGAGAGGGUGACCGGCCACACUGGGACUGAGAUACGGCCCAGACUCCUACGGGAGGCAGCAGUGGGGAAUAUUGCACAAUGGGCGCAAGCCUGAUGCAGCGACGCCGCGUGAGGGAUGACGGCCUUCGGGUUGUAAACCUCUUUCAAUAGGGACGAAGCGCAAGUGACGGUACCUAUAGAAGAAGGACCGGCCAACUACGUGCCAGCAGCCGCGGUAAUACGUAGGGUCCGAGCGUUGUCCGGAAUUACUGGGCGUAAAGAGCUCGUAGGUGGUUUGUCGCGUUGUUCGUGAAAACUCACAGCUUAACUGUGGGCGUGCGGGCGAUACGGGCAGACUAGAGUACUGCAGGGGAGACUGGAAUUCCUGGUGUAGCGGUGGAAUGCGCAGAUAUCUGGAAGAACACCAGUUGCGAAGGCGGUCUCUUGGUCCGAUACUGACGCUGAGGCGCGAAAGCGUGGGGAGCAAACAGGAUUAGAUACCCUGGUAGUCCACGCUGUAAACGAUGAAUACUAGGUGUUGGGUUUUUAACUCAGUGCCGCAACUAACGCAUUAAGUAUUCCACCUGGGAAGUACGAUCGCAAGGUUGAAACUUCAAAGGAAUUGACGGGGGCCCGCACAAGCAGUGGAGCAUGUGUUUCAAUUCGAUGCAACGCGAAAACCUUACCUAGGCUUGAAAGGCAAGUGACAGGGUAUGAAAGUACCCUCCAGCAAUGCACUUGUACAGGUGCUGCAUGCUGUCGUCAGCUCGUGCGUGAGUUUUGGAUAAGUUCCGCACCGAGCGCUACUCCUUACUAUUAGUUGCAACCAGCUUUGCUGAGCACUCUUAAUAAGAAUUG
rnacentral:rRNA from 1 species